rnacentral:rRNA from 1 species
GACGAACGCUGGCGGCGUGCCUAAUACAUGCAAGUCGAGCGCUUCUUUCCUCCCGAGUGCUUGCACUCAAUUGGAAAGAGGAGUGGCGGACGGGUGAGUAACACGUGGGUAACCUACCCAUCAGAGGGGGAUAACACUUGGAAACAGGUGCUAAUACCGCAUAACAGUUUAUGCCGCAUGACAUAAGAGUGAAAGGCGCUUUCGGGUGUCGCUGAUGGAUGGACCCGCGGUGCAUUAGCUAGUUGGUGAGGUAACGGCUCACCAAGGCCACGAUGCAUAGCCGACCUGAGAGGGUGAUCGGCCACACUGGGACUGAGACACGGCCCAGACUCCUACGGGAGGCAGCAGUAGGGAAUCUUCGGCAAUGGACGAAAGUCUGACCGAGCAACGCCGCGUGAGUGAAGAAGGUUUUCGGAUCGUAAAACUCUGUUGUUAGAGAAGAACAAGGACGUUAGUAACUGAACGUCCCCUGACGGUAUCUAACCAGAAAGCCACGGCUAACUACGUG